UACGAAGGGGGCUAGCGUUGUUCGGAAUUACUGGGCGUAAAGCGCACGUAGGCGGAUUUGUAAGUCAGGGGUGAAAUCCCGGGGCUCAACCUCGGAACUGCCUUUGAUACUGCAAGUCUUGAGUCCGAUAGAGGUGAGUGGAAUUCCUAGUGUAGAGGUGAAAUUCGUAGAUAUCAAGCGGAACACCGGUGGCGAAGGCGGCCUUCUGGACAGUGACUGACGCUGAGACGCGAAAGCGUGGGGAGCAAACAGG
rnacentral:rRNA from 1 species